UGUUUACCCGACAUCUUUUGA
ensembl:piRNA 21ur-12165 ncRNA